ACGGCCAUGUCACGUUGAAAACACCAGUUCUCAUACGAUCACCAAAGUUAAUCAACGUCGAACCUGGUUAAUAACUCGAUGGGUGAGCACUUGGGAAUACCAG